rnacentral:rRNA from 1 species
UGCGUAGGGAUGCAAUGCUACCCUCUGAGACUAUAUCGGCGGACGGGUGAGUAAUGCUUAGGAAUCUGCCUAUUAGUGGGGGACAACAUUCCGAAAGGAAUGCUAAUACCGCAUACGCCCUACGGGGGAAAGCAGGGGAUCUUCGGACCUUGCGCUAAUAGAUGAGCCUAAGUCGGAUUAGCUAGUUGGUGGGGUAAAGGCCUACCAAGGCGACGAUCUGUAGCGGGUCUGAGAGGAUGAUCCGCCACACUGGGACUGAGACACGGCCCAGACUCCUACGGGAGGCAGCAGUGGGGAAUAUUGGACAAUGGGCGGAAGCCUGAUCCAGCCAUGCCGCGUGUGUGAAGAAGGCCUUUUGGUUGUAAAGCACUUUAAGCGAGGAGGAGGCUACUAGUAUUAAUACUACUGGAUAGUGGACGUUACUCGCAGAAUAAGCACCGGCUAACUCUGUGCCAGCAGCCGCGGUAAUACAGAGGGUGCGAGCGUUAAUCGGAUUUACUGGGCGUAAAGCGUGCGUAGGCGGCUUUUUAAGUCGGAUGUGAAAUCCCCGAGCUUAACUUGGGAAUUGCAUUCGAUACUGGGAAGCUAGAGUAUGGGAGAGGAUGGUAGAAUUCCAGGUGUAGCGGUGAAAUGCGUAGAGAUCUGGAGGAAUACCGAUGGCGAAGGCAGCCAUCUGGCCUAAUACUGACGCUGAGGUACGAAAGCAUGGGGAGCAAACAGGAUUAGAUACCCUGGUAGUCCAUGCCGUAAACGAUGUCUACUAGCCGUUGGGGCCUUUGAGGCUUUAGUGGCGCAGCUAACGCGAUAAGUAGACCGCCUGGGGAGUACGGUCGCAAGACUAAAACUCAAAUGAAUUGACGGGGGCCCGCACAAGCGGUGGAGCAUGUGGUUUAAUUCGAUGCAACGCGAAGAACCUUACCUGGUCUUGACAUACAGAGAACUUUCCAGAGAUGGAUUGGUGCCUUCGGGAACUCUGAUACAGGUGCUGCAUGGCUGUCGUCAGCUCGUGUCGUGAGAUGUUGGGUUAAGUCCCGCAACGAGCGCAACCCUUUUCCUUAUUUGCCAGCACUUCGGGUGGGAACUUUAAGGAUACUGCCAGUGACAAACUGGAGGAAGGCGGGGACGACGUCAAGUCAUCAUGGCCCUUACGACCAGGGCUACACACGUGCUACAAUGGUCGGUACAAAGGGUUGCUACCUCGCGAGAGGAUGCUAAUCUCAAAAAGCCGAUCGUAGUCCGGAUUGGAGUCUGCAACUCGACUCCAUGAAGUCGGAAUCGUUAGUAAUCGCGGAUCAGAAUUCCGUGGUGAAUACGUUCCCGUACAUUGUGCUCCCCGCUCAUUACGUCUAACAAGGUAGCCGUAGAGUUUGAUCCAGCCUCAGUAAGUCGUAACAAGGUAGCCGCUGG